UGGGGAAUAUUGGACAAUGGGCGCAAGCCUGAUCCAGCCAUGCCGCGUGAGUGACGAAGGUCUUCGGAUUGUAAAGCUCUUUUACCAGGGACGAUAAUGACGGUACCUGGAGAAUAAGCACCGGCUAACUCUGUGCCAGCAGCCGCGGUAAUACAGAGGGUGCGAGCGUUGUCCGGAAUCACUGGGCGUAAAGGGCGCGUAGGCGGCCCGGUAAGUAGGGGGUGAAAUCUCAUGGCUCAACUGUGAGGCUGCCUUCUAGACUGCCAGGCUUGAGCACAGUAGAGGCGAGUGGAAUUCCCGGUGUAGCGGUGGAAUGCGUAGAGAUCAGGAAGAACAUCGGUGGCGAAGGCGGCUCGCUGGGCUGUUGCUGACGCUGAGGUGCGAAAGCGUGGGGAGCAAACAGGAUUAGAUACCCGUGUAGUCCCUGAGCGGGCUGGCAAGGCGCAU
rnacentral:rRNA from 1 species